GAUGAGCGCUGGCGGCGUGCCUAACACAUGCAAGUCGAGCGAUUCUCUUCGGAGAAGAGCGGCGGACGGGUGAGUAACGCGUGGGUAACCUGCCCUGUACACACGGAUAACAUACCGAAAGGUAUGCUAAUACGGGAUAAUAUGCUUUAGUCGCAUGGCUGAAGUAUCAAAACUCCGGCGGUACAGGAUGGACCCGCGUCUGAUUAGCUAGUUGGUAAGGUAAUGGCUUACCAAGGCGACGAUCAGUAGCCGACCUGAGAGGGUGAUCGGCCACAUUGGAACUGAGACACGGUCCAAACUCCUACGGGAGGCAGCAGUGGGGAAUAUUGCACAAUAGGCGAAAGCCUGAUGCAGCAACGCCGCGUGAGCGAUGAAGGCCUUCGGGUCGUAAAGCUCUGUCCUCAAGGAAGAUAAUGACGGUACUUGAGGAGGAAGCCCCGGCUAACUACGUGCCAGCAGCCGCCGUAA
rnacentral:rRNA from 1 species